UCCAGAAUGCUCCAUCAGAAUGAGAUAAGUUUAAGAUUUUUUCCCAGUGAUAUUAGCCGGAGUUUGUGUACCCAAACAGAUUUGACGGUCAAGAUUGCCUCAUCAAAUCCGCUUAUAAACCGAAAGAAAAUCCUCGAUUUCCUCACUCUGUCGAUUAUAGAGCCGUAUUCGCUACUCGAACCUUUCAAUUUCUCUUAUCUAAAAAAAAUUGUGAAUCUAGGUCAUGGCGAAAGAGAUUAGGUACUUCGAGUUGAACACCGGAGCAAAAAUACCGUCAGUCGGCCUCGGUACGUGGCAGUCCGCGCCUGGUGUCGUCGGUCAAGCUGUUAAAAUCGCCAUCAAGGUUGGAUACCGCCAUAUUGACUGUGCUCGAUCCUAUA